rnacentral:lncRNA from 1 species
CCGGCGCAUCCUUACCCUCCCCCGCGCACCCCCUGCCUUCCUCCCCUCCGACACCGCUGAGGCCGCGUUGCGACUAUUUUUUUUUCCCUCUCCGACCAUCCUCCACCGCCUCCGACGAUGACGCCUAUCUCACCAUCUCUCGCCCUUCUCCACCUUUCCCUCUCCCUCCCCCUUCGCCUCCUCCGCCACCUCCAACGACGACGCCUCUCCGCCGACAUCGAUGCUGCGGAGGUCAUUGUGGCGCCAUAGCCUCGAAGUGAGGGGGUCUUUAGCGGAGUCGUCGCCGGCGCCGUGGCCGUUGGUGGAGAGGCGUGACAAAAAAAAAUUAUAAAAGAAGGAAAAAGAAAAAAAUAAAGAAAAAAAUUAUAUAAGAAGAAAGAAGAAAAUAAAAUUGCACUGUUAAAAUAAGAUUACACAGUUUUAAAAUAAAUUUGCACUGUUUUAAUAAAAAUUGCACUAUUUGAUAUAGAAAUUACACUCUUUGGAAUAGAUUUUACAAUCUUUAGGCUAAUGUUGUACUAUUUAGGAGAAUUUUGCACUAUUUCUUUUCCUUUUCUUUUUCUCUUUCUCUUAUUCUUCUUUUUCCGCUGCUGCCUCCCGCCCGUCCGGCCAGAGGUCUCCUCGCGCGCUCCGCCUGA